ensembl:lncRNA
UCUGUCCCAGCUGCAGUGUCCAUGCCGUCCUUGGGAAAUGCUCCUGGCUGUCUGUCUGUCCCAGCUGCAGUGUCCAUCCUCUCCUCCUGGCUGUCUGUCUGUCCUUCUGUCCCUCACUCACCCCGAGCCUCCAGCAGGGACCCUGCAAAGCAAAAGCAGCGUUAAUGGAAGGGCCAGGCUGGGCUGGAGCUGGAGCCAGGGCUGAUCCUCCCUCAGCACCAACUCCAGGGUUUGCAGGGAUGUGGGAGGAGCAGCAGCCCCAAACCCUUCUCCUCCUUUCCCCCAACCUCUCCUGGGCACUCCCAGAGCUGCUGGGGAGCUGAGAGUGCAAAUCCUCCUGCCCCAAGCACCACCAUGGAGCCCUGCAGGGCACUGACCCCAAACCCCCAGGGCUGGGGGACACAGCACAGAGGGAUCUGGGAUGGGCAGGGAGGCAAAACAUCGAUGGGAGCAUCCCUGAGCUCUGCAGGGCACUGACACUGAACUUCAGGGGCUGGGGGUCACAGCACAGAGGGAUCUGGAACGGGCAGGGAGGUGAAAAACUGCUGAGGACACCCCUGAGGCACCUCCUGAGCUCUGCAGGGCACUGACCCCAAAUUCUCAGGGCUAGGGAUCAAAGACCGGUGGGAUUUGGGAUGAGCAGGGAGCUCAAACAUCAGUGGUGGCAUCCCAGAAGCACCCAGUGCCCCCUAAGAAGGUCUAGAGGACCCUCAUGAGCAUCACUGGGAUUUUCAGGGCACCAACCCCAAUUUUCCAGGCUCUGGAGAUCUGAGCACAGCAAGAUGUGGGACAGACAAGGACACUGGUGACACCCCAGAGGCACCCAGAGCCCCCUAAGAAGGUCUAGAGGACCCUCAUGAGCAUCACUGGGGUUUUCAGGGCACCAGCCCCAAUUUCCCAGGCUCUGUGCACAGCGGCAUGUGGGACAGGCAGGGACACAGGUGACAUCCCAGAGCACCCAGUGCCCGAGGAGAACAUGCAGAAGGUCCAAGCCCUGGGCUGGCAGCUCACAGGGACUCAGGGGGUGCAGGGUGGGUACAGGAUGGGUGCCCCCAGCCCGGGGGUGCAGGUUUGUGCCCCCAGCCCAGGGUGGGUGCAGGACGGAUGCAGGGUGGGUGCAGGUUUGUGCCCCCAGCCCAGGGUNCCAGAGGAUCCCAAAAUUCCCUCUAGCAAAGGAAACUCAGAACUCCAGGAAUUCCAGGGCAAUUCCAGCCCUCCCUUGGUCCUCCUGCCUCCAGGUGAUGCUCCCAGCAGACCCAGCAGACCCUGGAGCAGCCCCGGGGACAGGGAAGGGACCAACCCCAUCCUCCCCCUUCCCUCAGGUGAGCCCUUAUCAAACAGCCCCACCCCCCCAGGUGAGCCCUUAUCAGCCCGCGGCACCACAAAGGGCCAUAAAGCACCGGGAGGUGACAGCUGUGCUCCAGGUGUGCCCCAGGUGGGGCAGGGCCCUUUCAUCUCGCCCCAAACCAGGAAAAACCCACAAGGAUGGGCUUGGGGAGAGCUUGGGAAUUUGUGAUUCCCAAUAAAAUCCAGCAGGAUGGGAUUGGGGAGAGUUUG